rnacentral:rRNA from 1 species
GUCCAGACUCCUACGGGAGGCAGCAGUGGGGGAUAUUGCACAAUGGGGGAAACCCUGAUGCAGCGACGCCGCGUGGGUGAAGAAGCGCCUCGGCGCGUAAAGCCCUGUCAGCAGGGAAGAAAAUGACGGUACCUGAAGAAGAAGCCCCGGCUAACUACGUGCCAGCAGCCGCGGUAAUACGUAGGGGGCAAGCGUUAUCCGGAUUUACUGGGUGUAAAGGGAGCGUAGACGGCUGGUCAAGUCUGAAGUGAAAGCCCGGGGCUUAACCCCGGAACGGCGUUGGAAACUGAGCAGCUAGAGUGCUGGAGAGGUAAGCGGAAUUCCUAGUGUAGCGGUGAAAUGCGUAGAUAUUAGGAGGAACACCAGUGGCGAAGGCGGCUUACUGGACAGUAACUGACGUUGAGGCUCGAAAGCGUGGGGAGCAAACAGGAUUAGAUACCCUCGUACU